UACGUAGGGCGCAAGCGUUAUCCGGAAUUAUUGGGCGUAAAGAGCUCGUAGGCGGUUUGUCGCGUCUGCCGUGAAAGUCCGGGGCUCAACUCCGGAUCUGCGGUGGGUACGGGCAGACUAGAGUGAUGUAGGGGAGACUGGAAUUCCUGGUGUAGCGGUAGAAAUGCGCAGAUAUCAGGAAGAACACCCGUGGCGAAGGCGGUUCUCUGGGACGGUACUGACGCUGAGACGCGAAAGCGUGGGGAGCGAACAGG
rnacentral:rRNA from 1 species